GAGGAUGUACGUCUAAUUGGUAAGGCAUCCAGUUGUAACCUGGCCGAGUUUUCUCAUUAGGGGUUCAAGUCCCUUCGUCCUCA
rfam:Cryptococcus amylolentus CBS 6039 supercont1.15, whole genome shotgun sequence.